UCAGGACGAACGCUGGCGGCGUGCUUAACACAUGCAAGUCGAGCGGAAAGGCCCUUCGGGGUACUCGAGCGGCGAACGGGUGAGUAACACGUGAGUAACCUGCCCUGGACUUUGGGAUAACCUUCGGAAACGGAGGCUAAUACCGAAUAUCCACUUUCUAUCGCAUGGUGGUUUGUGGAAAGUUUUUCGGUCUGGGAUGGGCUCGCGGCCUAUCAGCUUGUUGGUGGGGUGAUGGCCUACCAAGGCGACGACGGGUAGCCGGCCUGAGAGGGCGACCGGCCACACUGGGACUGAGACACGGCCCAGACUCCUACGGGAGGCAGCAGUGGGGAAUAUUGCACAAUGGGCGGAAGCCUGAUGCAGCGACGCCGCGUGAGGGAUGACGGCCUUCGGGUUGUAAACCUCUUUCAGCAGGGACGAAGCGCAAGUGACGGUACCUGCAGAAGAAGCGCCGGCCAACUACGUGCCAGCAGCCGCGGUAAGACGUAGGGCGCGAGCGUUGUCCGGAUUUAUUGGGCGUAAAGAGCUCGUAGGCGGCUUGUCGCGUCGGCUGUGAAAACCCGUGGCUCAACUGCGGGCUUGCAGCCGAUACGGGCAGGCUAGAGUUCGGUAGGGGAGACUGGAAUUCCUGGUGUAGCGGUGAAAUGCGCAGAUAUCAGGAGGAACACCGGUGGCGAAGGCGGGUCUCUGGGCCGAUACUGAC
rnacentral:rRNA from 1 species